rnacentral:lncRNA from 1 species
AUCUCAAAAAAACUCAAGGUCACCAACAAAGCAGAGUGAUGGUGGCAGCUUUAGAGUUGGCCAGCAUGGGGGCCCUGGCUGCAUCAGUGGGUGCCCACUAGGCUUCUUAAUUGCAAGCAGUAUGUGCUGGCAGUCACCCACUGAAACCAAAAAUGGACCUUGGUGGAUGUCAAUAGGGCACCUCUCUUUUAAAGAGAAGGGUGGAGGGCGAGAAUUGAGCCAGGUAGCAUGGCAGCAGAGCACAGCCAGGCUCUGUUCUGCCUCUGCUCACUUCUGGCACCCUGCUUCUUAUGGUAAUCAUUUAAAAACAGUGCUGUGUAUCAUAGAUGCCUGUGGUCAUGUAGGACAUAGAUGGUGCCGUGAGAGCGUCUACCCUGAGGCUGUCAGUGGGAGUCCUAACCUAGCUCCACCACAGUUAUAUAUGCUGUUCAAUGACUCUGAGAAUGAGGGUAAGCAGGACAGAGCCAUCCCAAGAGAGCCAUGGAGAAGGGGGUGGAGAACAAUGAGAAAGAGAAACCAGCAGACAUGAAUAUGGUGGUCCAGCAAGAAAGACAACUGUCAUGUUCUAAAGAUGACAGGAAGGAUCAGAUCAGCCAAAGAUGAGGAUUUCUGCUGGAGAUGUCAUGGGCAUGUUCCAUUUGCAGGUCAUAUUAAGAGCAGCAUCCUCAAGACACAGAUGAAUUCCUGUUAAAAUCCCUCCUUGGGAAAGUGUGGGCUCUGACAUUAGAGCGAUGAAAGCUGGGCCUAGUGGCCCUACUCAAGAACACAAACAGCUCUAGGGACCUUGCUCUGGAGUUGUGAGCCAGCUUGGUAAGGGAAGUCUUAUUGGAGACAUAGGAAGCUCAGGUACCAAGGCUAGCUAGUUCAUCUUGAUGAAUGUAUUGAUCUUGGGCGUGGUGCUUUGGGCCUCAAGAGGAGCCCUGGAGAAAUUGCUACACACUCCCUUCCUCCAGUUCCAUGGCCAUCAGUGGGCACAGUGCACCUGACUGGGCAAGAGUUCACACACAAGCACAUAAAGCUGUGUGAGCCUUCCUUGUGCAAACCAAUGAAAAACCAAGGAACCAGGCCUAGUAAGACAGGCUGAUGACCUCUGUCACUUCAAAAGUUCAGCCUAAGUCUACCUCAAGAAUUUAAGCCUAUCUUGAGCAAUUUGGAAAAUCUCAAAAUAUGAAGUAAAAUGAAGCCAGAGAUGAUGUCACUUCGUGCUGCAGAGCACUUGCCUAGCUUGUGAGGCCCAGGGCUCAAGCCCUGGUACUGUAAAAAAUGAACUAUAUGCGCUCAAGUGCUAUCUGGCGGUGAUAACACAGGCUUUUUAAAAAUAUAAACAAAUUCUAAAAACAUUGCACUCUUCAAGACAUGGCUCGAUGGUUCCGAACACUGACUUCUCUUCUAGAGGACCUGGAUUCAAAUCCCAACACCCACAUAGCAGUUCACAACUGUCUGUAACUCAAAAUCCGAUGCCCUCAUGCAGACAGACAUGCAGACAAAGCAACAAUGAUCAUAUAAUAGAAAGUUUAGAAAAGAAAAAAAUGUUGCCCUUUUUGAUACUGUUUUAGAAAGCAACAUAAAUCCUUAGAAUUACUAAAGCCAAACUCUGCAACACUGGCAAACCAACCCAUGCUGUAGGGCACAUUGACCAUGCCACCAGAAGGGCUUGAGACUGGUGAGAGACAUGCUCAAACCCCAGGAACCUCAGAGAUCUGAGAUGGCAGGAGUGGAGCUGCCCCCUCCCUGCCCCCAUAACUGCUUUGGAGCACACAACCAUGACCUCAGCUAGGUGGUCAUGUAACACAGCACCUAGAAUUCUUCCCCAUGCAAAUAGAGGCAUCACCAGCAUCAUAGCCUUAGCCAGUAGAAUGUUAUUUACGCCCCCAAUCGCAUCCCACUCCCCAAGGUUCAUAUAGUUCCUGUCCACAUGGAAUAAAGCACACAAGUUAUUUCACCAAGGAUCGUCUGAGAGUGGUGGGUUUUCCUGAGCUUUAACAAUUGAGGGAAGGCUUUCUUCCCCAGGCACUCAACGUUGAAUCUCGAACCCCACCUGCCUGGCCAGGCUCCCUUUGGCUGCAGAGACUUGCAUCACACUGUAUGUGCUAUGUGACCCUAGCUACCUGCUCUGGGAAGAUCACUAACACUCCCAGCAUUCCCAGCUGGACUGGAGCCUGUGGACCCUAUUUGCCCCAGACUCUGCUUCAUCCUGCUUGGUCUGACACCCCAGAGGGAAAGGGUGGCUGCAGACAUGUUCCAGACUUUGCCCUGCCUUCUAUGAGCUGGUGUCCCCGAGGCACCUGGGUACCCCAUCAGGAGAGGCAAAACCAUACCAUGUGUGAGUGAAAGUGUACCAGCAAUUAGACGAGAUGAAGUGUCCUGUUCACAGGAACAGUAGAAGGUACAGAAAGAAAACACAAACUUUCUAGAACAGAGUCAUUAUUUCAUGGACACAGAAUACUGACCAUAUUGCUAUAGUUUUUAUGUGGAAAAACAGAAAAAAUACAUGUAGAGCUACAACUAGUCAAGGCAGGCUUGUAGAAACAAGAGUUAGACAAUAGGACAGACCUGCCCUGUGAGUUAUAAAGAAAAAGGAAACUCGGAUUAUUAAACAAAGAUUGCUUAUCAGUGCGUACAGCAGAAUAGAAGGUCAAGAAACAGCAUGAGGAUCUAGAAGCUUGGACACACUGUGAGAGGGUUCAAGUGGUGUGUAGGGAUCAAAGCUGGAGAGUCUUUUCCCAGUGAGUAAAGUCAGAUCCUCCCAUGUGCUGGCACAUUAUCAUUCCUCAGACAGAAAAGGCCAAAAGGAAAAUUAAAGACAAUGCAGGAAUACAGAUAACCCAUGGAAGAAUCCCUAGUGUGUGUCCCCGCCAUUCUUUUUAUCUUAUACAGGAAACAUAUCUUUAUUUACUGUGUAUCAUGACAUCAAAAGCACUGAAUUAUACGUGGUGUCUUUUGUUUAAGAAUGCAUGCUUUUAGAACUAUUAUGGGAUACACAAGAAACCUUUGUGGGAACAAGAAUUUCUGAUUGCUCACAUGAACAACAAACUGAAAAACAGCCAAACUAGAUUGCUGAUUUUCAAUAAAAAGAGAGU